rnacentral:rRNA from 1 species
AUACGGGGGGAGCAAGCGUUGUUCGGAUUUACUGGGCGUAAGGGGCGCGUAGGCGGCGCGACAAGUCACUUGUGAAAUCUCUGGGCUCAACCCAGAACGGUCAAGUGAUACUGUCGUGCUAGAGUGCGGAAGGGGCAACUGGAAUUCUUGGUGCAGCGGUGAAAUGCGUAGAUAUCAAGAGGAACACCUGCGGCGAAGGCGGGUUGCUGGGCCGACACUGACGCUGAGGCGCGAAAGCUAGGGGAGCGAACGGGA